rnacentral:lncRNA from 7 species
UAGGUGGAAUGACUACUCUGCUGAGAUGAGCUCUUAAUUAAUGCACAGAGAUCCUGAAAGUCCCACCUCUCACCAGUAAUGAUUGACAUCCAAGGAUACAUAAAUUACACUAAUUGAGCUUUCUAUUUCUACAUUUUUCUGCAGCCAACUCAUCAGAAAAGACUCAGAAGUGGCCAUGGAUUCGUCCCCUGCUGUGAAAUUUGGCUGCUGCCUGAGGCCCUGUGGAAAUCAUGUUUCUUGCUGUGCCCAACCACGUGCAAGCCUCCCUGCUGAGAAAAGGAAGGAAAUUCGCUGAACUGCGUUCAUCUCUUUCUCUCACUGAGACAGAGAGAAAAGCAUCUGCAGGGCAGUAUUUCCCUACAAAUUUUUUUCUUCUGAAGAGGGAAGCAGGAGGGCGUCAGUAUAUUCCUGAGGAUGUGCUGAUUGUCAGUGAAGAACUUGAUAUCAGGAGGACAGUCAUACUAGCAGGCACUACAAACUCAGUAGCUACCAACACAUUGAAAAGGGGCUUGAAGGAAGCCUUGAAUAUUCUCUGCUUCUCAAGAGGUACUAACAUCAGUGCAGGAGAAAAAAGGAGAGGUGUAAUGUAAUGUCCCUGUUAUUGUUAUGACCUGCCAAAAUCAGUGGAACAGUAAUAAUCACAUGACUUUAUAUAUUUUGUCUAUUAAAUCUCAUCUACUUGAUGCCUUUGGCCUUGCUUUUCACUUGGGAGAUGAGGGUUCUGAGAGCCAGUGAAAUGUAAGGGACCAUAUUCUGAAGAAAUACUUGGAAAAAUUUGGUGUUUAAAAACACAAAUGAAUUAUACACUCUAAAAUUGUACCGCAAAAAGCAUUUUACAUGCUGUGGAGCUGAAGUCUUUAGAAAAUGACAAGCAAAUAAGAAAACUUACGGUUUCCCCCUCAGUGUGUACAAUCAAAGGUCUUUAUCUUAAAGACAAAGUGUAUUUCAGUUUGUUUGGUUCAGACGCUGGAAUAACAGUUAACUUGGAAAGAAAAUAGUGUUAGGAGAGUAUAAGUGGGAAAUGUUCUUGAGAACACAACUGAUGGAGAGAAAAGGCAAUUUUGUUUGCUCUGUGCUUUCUUAGCUCUGAUAUUACCUAUUAAAAACCUGGUAGGAGCUUGGCUUGCAUAAAUAAUGAGUGUAUUGAAGUUAGUAGACCUUUUAGAGUAAAUCAUGAUUUGAAUUAGUUGGAAGAAAGAUAAAACAUUGCUGAUAAUGCCAAUAGCAAUGUUUUAAUAAGCUAAGGAAAGGUAACUUGUGCAUUCUGGCAAAGAUGCACUUUUUUAUUCAUUCAUAUGUGCUGCAGAAGUAGGGAAAAGCAAGCACCCAGACAAGACUGCAAAGAGCAUGACAGGAGUCUACAGCUGGAAAGUGAUCCUUCUCAAAUGAGGAGACUCAACUUGUUAUGGUGGGAGAAAAUAAGGUACUAUGCAGAUAGGCAUGAAAGAGACGUGAGCUGAGAAUUAUCUCAGAUAGGCUGGAGGGAGGGGAUCACAAGAUGAGAGUGCAGAAGUCAAAAAUGCUUCUCAGUGAUUUCAGUAAGGAGGAAGAUUGUCUUAGGGACGUUAGAAAGAAACAGAAUCAAGGAAAAAAUAAACUUGAGAUGUAGCUCUUACCAGAAAUUAAAGAGGAGAGCAAUGUAACAAGGAGAACUCCAAAAGAAAAAAAAGGGGGAAGGAAUUCACU